rnacentral:rRNA from 1 species
AUUGAACGCUGGCGGCAUGCCUUACACAUGCAAGUCGAACGGCAGCACGGGAGCAAUCCUGGUGGCGAGUGGCGAACGGGUGAGUAAUACAUCGGAACGUGCCCAAUCGUGGGGGAUAACGCAGCGAAAGCUGUGCUAAUACCGCAUACGAUCUACGGAUGAAAGCAGGGGAUCGCAAGACCUUGCGCGAAUGGAGCGGCCGAUGGCAGAUUAGGUAGUUGGUGAGGUAAAGGCUCACCAAGCCGUCGAUCUGUAGCUGGUCUGAGAGGACGACCAGCCACACUGGGACUGAGACACGGCCCAGACUCCUACGGGGGGCAGCAGUGGGGAAUUUUGGACAAUGGGCGAAAGCCUGAUCCAGCCAUGCCGCGUGCAGGAUGAAGGCCUUCGGGUUGUAAACUGCUUUUGUACGGAACGAAACGGCCUUUUCUAAUAAAGAGGGCUAAUGACGGUACCGUAAGAAUAAGCACCGGCUAACUACGCGCCAGCAGCCGCGGUAAUACGUAGGGUGCAAGCGUUAAUCGGAAUUACUGGGCGUAAAGCGUGCGCAGGCGGUUAUGUAAGACAGUUGUGAAAUCCCCGGGCUCAGCCUGGGAACUGCAUCUGUGACUGCAUAGCUAGAGUACGGUAGAGGGGGAUGGAAUUCCGCGUGUAGCAGUGAAAUGCGUAGAUAUGCGGAGGAACACCGAUGGCGAAGGCAAUCCCCUGGACCUGUACUGACGCUCAUGCACGAAAGCGUGGGGGAGCAAACAGG